rnacentral:tRNA from 2 species
CCGGAAUAGCUCAGUUGGUAGAGC